rnacentral:rRNA from 1 species
CCUACGGGAGGCAGCAGUGAGGAAUAUUGGUCAAUGGACGAGAGUCUGAACCAGCCAAGUAGCGUGAAGGAUGACUGCCCUAUGGGUUGUAAACUUCUUUUAUAAAGGAAUAAAACGUGGCACGUGUGCCUUUUUGCAUGUACCUUAUGAUUAAGGAUCGGCUAACUCCGUGCCAGCAGCCGCGGUAAUACGGAGGAUCCGAGCGUUAUCCGGUUUUAUUGGGUUUAAAGGGAGCGUAGAUGGGUUGUUAAGUCAGUUGUGAAAUUUUGCGGCUCAACCGUAAAAUUGCAGUUGAUACUGGCAGUCUUGAGUACAGUUGAGGUAAGCGGAAUUCGUGGUGUAGCGGUGAAAUGCUUAGAUAUCACGAAGAACCCCGAUUGCGAAGGCAGCUUACUAAACUGUGACUGACAUUGAUGCUCGAAAGUGUGGGUAUCAAACAGGAUUAGAUACCCCAGUAGUC